UACGAAGGGUGCGAGCGUUAUUCGGAAUCACUGGGCGUAAAGGGUGCGUAGACGGUAUGUUAAGUUUGUUGUUAGAGGCUCCGGCCUAACCGGAGUAUUGCGAUGAAAACUGGCAUGCUAGAGGGUGAGAGAGAGAAGUGGAAUUCCUGGAGUAGCGGUAAAAUGCAUGGAUCUCAGGAGGAACACCAAUGGCGAAGGCAGCUUCUUGGCUCAUACCUGACGUUGAGGCACGAAAGCGUGGGGAGCAAACAGG
rnacentral:rRNA from 1 species